GAUGAACGCUGGCGGCGCGCUUAACACAUGCAAGUCGAGCGAGAACCGGGGCUUCGGCCCCGGGGACAGCGGCGAACGGGUGAGUAACACGUGAGUAACCUGCCCUCGGCACCGGAAUAGCCCGGGGAAACCCGGAUUAAUGCCGGAUGGCCCCUCUGCCCUGCGGGGCGGCGGGAAAAGGUAGCUUCGGCCUCCGGCCGAGGAUGGGCUCGCGGCGGAUUAGCUUGUUGGCGGGGUAACGGCCCACCAAGGCGACGAUCCGUAGCUGGUCUGAGAGGACGAUCAGCCACACUGGGACUGGGACACGGCCCAGACUCCUACGGGAGGCAGCAGUGGGGAAUCUUGCGCAAUGGGCGAAAGCCUGACGCAGCGACGCCGCGUGCGGGAAGAAGGCCCUCGGGUUGUAAACCGCUUUCAGGAGGGACGAAGCCACUCGGGUGAACAGCCCAGAGGGUGACGGUACCUCCAGAAGAAGCCCCGGCUAACUACGUGCCAGCCGCCGCGGUAACAC
rnacentral:rRNA from 1 species